rnacentral:ncRNA from 2 species
AAUCCCGCAUCGGGAGAGACUGUCAACCGCAGACAGCGCCGAAGGAGCAACCACCCCGGAAACUCUCAGGCCAAAGGACCGAUGCAGGUCG